AACGUAGGUGGCAAGCGUUAUCCGGAAUUACUGGGCGUAAAGGGUGUGCAGGCGGGGAAGCAAGUGGUGUAUGAAAUCUCCCAGCUUAACUGGGAUAGGUUAUGCCAUACUGCUUUUCUAGAGGACGAGAGAGGGGGGUGGAAUUCCGGGUGUAGUGGUGAAAUGCGCAGAUAUCGGGAAGAACACCCGUGGCGAAGGCGGCUCUCUGGAACGCAACUGACGCUGAGACGCGAAAGCGUGGGGAGCAAACAGG
rnacentral:rRNA from 1 species